AAUCUCUCACGAAACAUAAAUCUAAAGGCAUACAAUGGCCAUUGCUACGAGUUUGUGGUCCACCGCCAUAUUGAAUGGAAGGCGGCGGAGAGUGACUGUGCUUCUAAGGGAGGGACACUAGUUGUGGUCAACAACAUGGAGGAACAACUCUUCCUUAUGUCCGCUCUCGGGUCGUUCUCAUUCCAUGGUCAGGGAGUCUGGAUCGGAUUGACUGACCAGUUGCAGGAGGGGAAAUUUUCAUGGGUCUCCGGAGAGCCAGCUACUUUCACCUACUGGGCCGCAGGACAACCCGGAGUGAUAACCACACCCCAUAUUGGCAAGAAGCGUUUGAUUUUGGACACCAUUACUGGCCUUACUAACAUUCAUCUCAUAGACGAGGACUGUGUGCUGUUGAAAUACACCGACUCGGGUCACUGGCACGAUUACCCCUGUCUCAAGCUGGACCCUCUAGGCCUUGUGCACGAAAAUUUCCCAUACGUAUGCGAGUACAGGCAAACAGCUACCACUGUCGGAACACCGCAGACCGUGACCCCAUCUACCACACAAACCACUAUUCCUACCACCACACCGGAAACUGACGUCAUGGCUUCCACGGCAUCAGCUAAAGUCGCUGGGUCCGUGGGGGAACUUGUCGUAGGAUGAUUUGAAACAAAUGUUGCGUCCGUGCUUCAAUAAAAG
rnacentral:misc_RNA from 1 species